rnacentral:rRNA from 1 species
UACGUAGGGUGCAAGCGUUUGUCCGGAAUUAUUGGGCGUAAAGAGCUCGUAGGCGGUCUGUCGCGUCGGAUGUGAAAACUCGGGGCUCAACCCCGGGCCUGCAUUCGAUACGGGCAGACUAGAGUACGGCAGGGGAGACUGGAAUUCCUGGUGUAGCGGUGAAAUGCGCAGAUAUCAGGAGGAACACCGGUGGCGAAGGCGGGUCUCUGGGCCGAAACUGACGCUGAGGAGCGAAAGCGUGGGGGAGCAAACAGG